rnacentral:lncRNA from 1 species
ACAGAUAACGGUAAAAUUAACUGUUAUCAUAAUGCACCAACUAAAAUUCUAAUAGUUAGUUCUUCCAUUACACUGUUAAUACUACUAGCUAAAGCAUCUUUCACUUAAUUUAGAUCCUGUGAAAAUGGUUUAGCAACCUGCAAACGUCUAUCCUACCCUGCGCACAAUAUUCCAGCCUUCUCUAAUCAUCAACUACCCACAACAACCACCCACCCCUAUCAAACACAUAACAACACAUGUCUACCCUAAAACUCAACAACG